AGGCAACAGCGCCAAUCUGAAUACGAAUCGACUAUGGUUCACCGUAGCCGCCUACUUGAUAAAUACAACGCUCGGAUUUUCCAUCACCUAUAUAGGUUGCUAAUUCCUACUUAGGUCAAUAAAUAAAUCAAUGGAAUUUUCGUAAUAUUUCUAUGUGCAAUCUUGAAGGGACUCAUUAUAAUAUUAACUUAUAGAAUGAAUGUCUCUUAUGUUAAAUAGACAAAAACUUUCUACAUAGUUAAAGAGGCUCUACUGAUAGUGUUUAUUGUAAAGCAUGUAAAAUACAGGCUAUAUUUAUGUAGUUUAUUAUAUAAUAAAUAUUCCCAGUGAAAGAAAAAAACCGGGUUUAGAUUAAAAAUUUAUUGUGUUAAAACUGAUCUACUUUUUACCCUUAAUCGGUAAGGCGAAAAAAUAUUACACAAGCGGUAAUGUAUUGUACAGUCUCUCACACUGCUGUAUUUAAAAAGUCAUAAAAACGAAAUUAUACAGUUAGUUUUUCAUAUUACAAACUAUACUACAAUCACAAUAAAGAUCGUGUCCGCUGGAGAGGCCAAUUUAUAGAUACAGACUGUUUAGUUUUAAAUUAGAUAUACGGCCUAUAAAACUAUAAAAUGGCAACACUGCUUCCUCGCUCCCACCUUAUGCACUUGAUUCGCAUCAAUUCAUUCAGUCAUUCGUCAUUCUACCAUGGCGAUGCGACUCAUUUUCGUAAGCAAUGUUGCCGUAUCUACUCGAAAACUGAACCUAUUUCAGUUAAAUUGUAGGAGCUGUUAUAUUCUGUUUGUUCCUUAAUACAUGAAAACUUUACUGAGGUUAUCUCCUUUUUGAUGAUUCUCUUUUUGAGUAUAUUUUUUUAUUAUUGUUUUUUUUUAUUUUAUUGUUUUUAUGACAUUCUCGAAGAUUUCUUGUUAUUUGUGCUCUAUAAUAUCAUUUAGUCAUUUCAUUUUGUGUGCUUUGUUUUUCGUUACGAAACAUAUACACAUACGUAGAUAUUAUGUUGUCGUAUAUAAUAUCACAAGAGAGAAAAUUUUGCCGGCAAUAUUUUCGACUGGUAUGAAAAUUUGUUGCCUGGCAAUUUUCGCGAAUUAAAUUUUGACUUAAAUCACGAGACGUCAGUCGAGUGAUUUUGUGAACGCUGCAUUAAUUAAGCAUUUCAUUUGCUUGAUUUCAAAUGCUACAAACUCAUACGUAACCUGUAAAAACACGCGGAAAAAAUAAUCAAUACAAACUGAAUUUAGUGUAAGUGAUGCUUUAAAUCUUAAAAGAGUUUGGUGUAUAGUUUUUAUAUAAAACUAUAAUUAAAUAUAGACUAUUUUCUAUUCGUUUAUUCCGUCUAUCCUCAUUGUCACACAACGAAAUUUUACACCGUCGGACAUAUGCCUCAUUUAAAUGUCUCCAUCUUUCUCUGUGUUUCACAGAUCUAAUUCAGUUUGUAUCCACUUUCUUAAGACCAUCUGUCACCAGGUAAGUGACGUUCGAUGACAGCGCAUGUCCUCUCUUGGUCGCCACUAUAGAACAUUUUUUAAUCAUCUACUGUACCUUGAUCUUUUGUACCGUGCAGUCCCUAUUUCCACUUUAACUCCUCGGACUCUGUCUCUCAAAAUGAUGCCAACAUUCUAAAGCUGUGUACUUUCUUAAAAUAACUUUAUUUUGACGCUUCGAUUACAAAAAA
rnacentral:lncRNA from 1 species